rnacentral:rRNA from 1 species
GACGAACGCUGGCGGCGUGCCUAAUACAUGCAAGUCGAACGCUUCUUUCCUCCCGAGUGCUUGCACUCCAUUGGAAAGAGGAGUGGCGGACGGGUGAGUAACACGUGGGUAACCUACCCAUCAGAGGGGGAUAACACUUGGAAACAGGUGCUAAUACCGCAUAACAGUUUAUGCCGCAUGGCAUAAGAGUGAAAGGCGCUUUCGGGUGUCGCUGAUGGAUGGACCCGCGGUGCAUUAGCUAGUUGGUGAGGUAACGGCUCACCAAGGCCACGAUGCAUAGCCGACCGGAGAGGGUGAUCGGCCACACUGGGACUGAGACACGGCCCAGACUCCUACGGGAGGCAGCAGUAGGGAAUCUUCGGCAAUGGACGAAAGUCUGACCGAGCAACGCCGCGUGAGUGAAGAAGGUGUUCGGAUCGUAAAACUCUGUUGUUAGAGAAAAACAAGGACGUUAGUAACUGAACGUCCCCUGACGGUAUCUAACCAGAAAGCCACGGCUAACUACGUG